AAGGGUAAAUAUCAUAUUAAACCUUGAACUAUUUUCGCUUUAUCAAAAAUACCCUGAAAGUUUUCAAAUGCUCUCUAAACCCUCAAAGUAUCAAAAUUUUAUCAAAUAUAUCCCGCAUUUAUUUUCCGGUCAUCAGAAAUAUGACGUGGCUCGCCGGAUGACACAGUGUAAUUUAAAUUCUAUUUUUUUAAUCCACAUCAUUUUUUAAUCCAUGUCAUCCAUAUUAUCCCUCUCUCUCUCCACAUUUUCUCUCCCCCUAUCUCUACCGUCUCUCUCUCUCUCUCUAAGACACACACACACACUCCUCACCAACCGCCGUCGCCUCCCUCUAACGUUGCAGCACCAGCCGCCGGCGAAGCCGCGACCACCGCCGCACGUCGUCUCCUCUCGCCCUCUCCUUCUGUCUCUCUCUGUUCACUGGCGGAUAGUACUGCCGCCAUCUCCCUCGUCUCCGACGACCGUAACAAGGCCGCGACCGCCGCCUCCCACUCUAUGCUUCCAUCUCCUCUCCCCCGCUCUGGUCGGAAUGGCGGCAGAGCCGCCGCCCAAAUCCUAAGCCCCAAUUCCAGAGCCGCCGCCCAAACCCUAAGCCCCAAUUCCAGACCCCACUUCCUAUCCCCCUUCAAUUUUUGGCGAACGCUCGGCCGGAAAGCUGCUGCCACCGAGCCUUAGGUCCCCAGUCUCCCUCUUUCCUCUCUCAAUCGACCGGCAGCCAAGUCACAGCCGACUUCGUCUCUGCCCUCACUCAGACGGACCGACGACGAAGAAUGUCUCCACCGUUGUCGUGGCAGCUGAACUUGCGGCCAGAUCCUCUCCCCUUCUCUCACAACACAAAACACACACAAGUUCCAAACUCAAAUCUUGUUCGAUUUUUCAUUUGUUCUCAUUUGUAAAUCAUUAGCAGCUUAUUGCAUAAGCAAUUACAAAGUCCAUAUACUGAGAUGAAUGUAUGAGUUUGUUGGAAUUUUCAAAAUGAGAUGCAAUGAUAGAUAUUGAGCUUAUGCUGAAAUGAGCAAUAAAAGAUGAAUUUGUAUGAGCUUGAGUGUAAAACUUGAUGGACGACUUGCUGGAAAUUGGAUGAUAAAAGAGACGGCAGAGGAGAGGGGGAGAGGAAAUGUAGGGAGAGAGAGAGGGAGAGCAUGGAUGACAUGGAUUAAACAAUAGAAUAUGAAAUUAUAUGGAUUAAAAAAAAUAAAAUUUAAAUUACACUGUGUCAUCCGGCGAGCCACGUCACAUUUCUGGUGACCGGAAAAUAGAUGCAGGAUAUAUUUGAUAAAACUUUGAUACUUUG
rnacentral:lncRNA from 1 species